UUCCUCCUCCUCCUCCUCCUCCUCCCCGGUUUUCUCCUCAAAAUUUCAGCAAUCGUCCUAACCUGAUCUCGAUCCGCUCGCGAAGCCUGCAGAUGCGGUGAAAUGUCUUUGAGCUAGCUUCCUUCCAUCUUUGGAGUAGCUGUCUCUUUCUCAUAGUUUCUUCCGCAAUUGUAUAGAACAUAGACUGCAAGCUCAGAUAACUGAAGGGAAAGAAAAUGACGAAGAAACAAAUAUCUAAGCGUAACUUGCAUGCAUGGAAUCUUAGAAAAGGUAAUAACUCCUCUUAAGUAAAUAACCACGAAGAAUAUCUAUGGCACUAUUGUUGUCCAACAGUACAAAUUAAUUAGGCAGAACUUACUGAUAAGCCUGUUUUCAAACUGAAGUUGUACCUCUCUUUUCAUGGUUUUGUUUCACCCUUGGUCUGGCCUUUUUUUUUUUUUUGUACAUAUAGAUUGCAGCUUUGUAAAGAAAGAGAACGGGUGCAAACCUACCUAUACAAUGGUCACCAUGUAUAUACAGAAGAAUGUGGGACUCUACGACUUGAGAGAGUACUUAUAGAUUAUAGUUCCCUGUGAGUCAGAUCACCAGAUCCAGAAACUGGCAUCAGUGUGAAACCCUUCCCCCUUCCUCAUCUGCAUGAACUUGAUGGCCUGUAUUCCUCUCGUUUGGCUGUGAAAAUGAUUGGAACGCGCUCAGUCCUUGUGCUGUCCGCUCUGCUCCGUAUGGUCCUGAUCGUGUAUGGUGAAUGGCAAGACUGUUGGGAAUUGAUGUAUGCCCUAGAGGCAAUCUAUAAUCAGUUCUGUAAUAUGAUAUCUAUUUCAUUAUAUUACGAGGCAUAUCUGUUAUUGAGUA